GGAAAUGUGGCUUAGUGGUAGAGUGCCUGCCUAGCAUGCAUGAAGCCCUUGGGUUCAAUUCCUCAGUAUCUCUU
rfam:Dipodomys ordii contig_9114, whole genome shotgun sequence.